GAAUCAUAAUGUCCAAGUUCCAGGAGAACCAGAUGUUGAGAUAGAAAACACAGAGCAUAGUGAAAAUAUCACUGACCAACAUGCUGAACAAACACCUGAAAUAACUCCUGAAACACCUCAAGUGAGAAAAUCUGAGAGAUUAAAGCGACCCCCAGGACGGUUUCAUUACCCCCAGUUGGGUCAACCCCUUAUAUCCUUUGCACAACGAUUUCUGGAUAACUUUAACCAAGCUCUUGAGUCGUUUAGUAGCUAUGAAAACACUCAAAUCUAUGAUGUUUAGAUACAUUUUAAGUACAUGAAGGGACUCAUGUUUAUUCAAAGGGGGAGGGUGUAACCCCUAUAGACAUGGUUACUAGUAUUUUCUUGUUUUUACCUGGUAAUAUUAUUUCCGACACCCCUUGAACACACUUUGAUUUUCUGUAGUUCAGUGAAUGCAACAAAAGCACGUUGCUGCAUUAAGCUAGGCAAAACGGAGCAAGACACCGAGAGCAAAUAACAAGCUACACAAGGCCUUUAUGUGUUUUACUCUCGACCAAAACCAGGCAGAGCGUGUAUUUGUUUCUUGGGAAUUCCGACUGGUUUUUUGUGAUCCUGGAUCUGAAGUGGUUCUGGAUAUGGAUGGCGAGCCAGACCCUGUGAAAACUCUUGGCGAAUCCAAAAGCAGUGUGGCCAGCUGUUCUGGAUGCAGGAGUAGAGCUACAGUCUGAAUUACUUCGAAUCGCAGGAUUUCAGAUAAGCAAGAAC